rnacentral:rRNA from 1 species
AGAGUUUGAUCCUGGCUCAGAGCGAACGCUGGCGGCAGGCCUAAUACAUGCAAGUCGAAACGGGUCUCUUCGGAGGCAGUGGCGGACGGGUGAGUAACGCGUGGGAACGUGCCCUUUGGUACGGAACAACUGAGGGAAACUUCAGCUAAUACCGUAUGUGCCCUUCGGGGGAAAGAUUUAUCGCCAUUGGAGCGGCCCGCGUUGGAUUAGCUAGUUGGUGGGGUAAUGGCCCACCAAGGCGACGAUCCAUAGCUGGUCUGAGAGGAUGAUCAGCCACACUGGGACUGAGACACGGCCCAGACUCCUACGGGAGGCAGCAGUAGGGAAUCUUGCGCAAUGGGCGAAAGCCUGACGCAGCCAUGCCGCGUGAAUGAUGAAGGUCUUAGGAUUGUAAAAUUCUUCACCGGGGACGAUAAUGACGGUACCCGGAGAAGAAGCCCCGGCUAACUUCGUG